UGAACCCCAGGGAGUUGGAAGCCUCAGGGGAUGGGGCAACCUCUCAUUCACAUUCUUGACUCUCCUAGGACACAGGAGGUGUUCCGGAAAUAGGGAUGGAAUCGGAUUGACUGUUUCUUUCCAAGUCGAGGCAGGAGGCUGGAAGAGGUAGGAGGUAGCUUGGAAAAAUCCUGGAGCAGCCUUUCCGGCAGGGUUGGUUGCCUUGGCUGCUCUGCUCCCGAGCACUCUGCAGGGGGCCGAUGGCUCCCGGUGUGUCCGGUGCCAGGGGUGGGGAUCCUCUCCUCUGCCAGCCGCAGCUCUGAAGGUGUGGGUGAGAGACUUCGCUGCCUGCUUCUUAUUCUCCCUGUGCUGAGGAGAGAAGCAGCAUCAUCUACAGCAGUGUCUCUGCAUUCCUACCUCCUUGAUGCUAAGCAGAGGCAACUUGGGAGACCUUGACUUUGGGCCCAUCGCUGCGCAUGCUCUUGAGCCACAGAGCCCGAGAUGGCAGAGGAAAAUCCCACCGCUGGCCAUGCUGACGCUGUCUCUCCAGCUGGCCAGCCCACGGCCCUGGACAACUUCGGAACCUAGGUGGCUCUUAGGGCUGCUUCCCCACGGCUCCUCUGAUGUUCACCCUCUCCCUGGCCCUGUACACGCCCUCCCACCCUCCUCCGUGGGUGGUUUGCCGCUGACUCCACAGAUGCUAUCUGCUCCCUUCCCUCCUCCCACAGAGGAACCUGCAACAGGCACUAUCUCCUCUCCCAGCUCAGGGCCAGGGGGCUCCACUUCUAUCCCUGAAGAUCCCUCCAGUCUUUUAUCUUUCCAUGGGCUCUGACCUUCAUCCCUCCCCAACUACCAAGCAACUCGAGCAUUUGAUACAGCUUUUUAAAAAUACAAGAGCCAAACAUAAUCCAGGUGCAACUCAAUAGACCUCUCCCACACGGCACCUGCUGUGGCCCUCCAGGACAGUCCUCUGUCUCCUCUGCCCCAUCGCUGAGCUCCUAGAGAGACUGGUCUGCACCCUUGCAGUCUUCUUGGAUGAUGCCUCUGCCUUCAGGGCCUCCACGAUGUUGUCCACUCAGCCUUUGGGAAGGCCAUCAGGGACCUCCACAGGGCCGAAUCCAAGGCUCUAAGCUGUGGCCUCUGUGGAGACCCAGUCACACUACUGAUAUAUUCUCUGCCCUCUCUCUUCCCAAUCUUCUUUGGUUCCUCUCUCCCCUCUGGCCUCUCUGCUUUUUUCUAGACUUUUCUAAGUCUCCCUGAUCUCAUGCUUCUUCCUCAUCCUCAUCUCCUCAUUCCAGCCCCAACCCUGUUCAGGACCUGAGAACUCAAGCCCUGUCUGCCAUAGCCUCCGCUCUGACCUGGAAGUUAUGGGGACCUUAGUGGGACUCCCCCAAUAACCAGGUGACCACACCUCCUUCCAAAUGUGCUCUCCUGGCUGUACUUCUGGCCUCAGUCACUGGCUGGGUGGUCCCUGAGGAGGGGAAGGCCUUCCUUCUUUCCCUCAGUUGUAGCUGAUCUAUUAAUUAAUCUUGGAAAACAAAACAACAACAACAAGAAAGGGCGGGGGAGGGAUGUGAAAGAUUGAUUCUGGCAUCACACAAGCUGCUGUGCUGGGAUGGGCACCCCUGGAUUCCUCCCUGGGGAUCCUGUCUCCAUGAGCCCCCUUUUCAUCCUUCCCUGCUAUGCUGCCAGGAUCCCUGUCUUCCCCAUGCCUCUGUUUCCCAUCCACGAUCUGGAGACAGUGGUGGCAUCUACUUCAUAGGAUGCUGGGUUGAUUGUAUGUGAACACGUGCAGACUGCAGAGAGCCAGGGCUCAGUGAUGCUGCCUCUCCCCGCCCUGCUCCUCUCCCCUAGGGACGGCACUGCCCAGGACUCACUGCUACUUCACCUCCAGUCCACCUGCAGGACCCAGGGUGGGAGACAGAUGCCCUGGUGUGCAGUGAGAUAAGAGCAGGAGGCGAGCGCUGUAGCGAAGAGGCAGGGUCGUGUCACAUUUUUCACCCAUCUGAACAGAACAACUGGAGCUUUGCACCUCAUGCUUAUUAGGAUGGCUAUUCUAAAAAUAUCUGGAAUAAUUACUUUGGUGAGGAUGUGGAGCUGCUGUGCACUGUGGGCAGACAGAUGAAACUGUGCAGCCACGGUGGCAAUGGGACAAUGGCUCCUCAGAUUAUUAAAGUGGAGCUGCCAGAUGACCGAGUGAGUCCACUUCUGUGUGUAUGCGUCCAAAAGAAUGGAAAGCAGAAACUUGAAGAGGAGAUAUAGACGCCUGUAUUCUCAGAAGCACUUUCCCCAGUACUCAAGAGGUAGAGCAGAUAGAUGGACAAAUAAAAUGCAGACUAUUCUUCAGCUUAACAAAAGGAAGGGGUUUCCAACACAAGCUACAGUAGGAUGGUCAAGUGAUGGGGACCUUAUGCCGGGUGAAACAGGCCCAACAUAAAGGGACAAAUACUGUGUAAUCCCAGUGUCGGAGCUACUCUAAAUGACCAAAUUCAUAGAGACAGAAAGCAGAAUGGUGGUUGCCGGGCUGUUCUAGUGGGCAGCUUCGGUUUUGUCAAAUAAAAAUGUUCUGAGGAUUGGUUCCACCAUCUUAGAAGUGGAAUGUACACUCAAAAAUGGUGAGAAUGGAAAAUUUUAUAUUCUUUUACCCAAUUAAAAUAAUGUUUUUGACAUGUA